rnacentral:rRNA from 1 species
AUUGAACGCUGGCGGCAUGCUUUACACAUGCAAGUCGAACGGUAACAGGGUGCUUGCACCGCUGACGAGUGGCGAACGGGUGAGUAAUGCGUCGGAACGUGCCGAGUAGUGGGGGAUGACGCAGCGAAAGUUGUGCUAAUACCGCAUACGUACUGAGGUAGAAAGUGGGGGACCUUCGGGCCUCACGCUAUUCGAGCGGCCGACGUCUGAUUAGCUAGUAGGUGAGGUAAAGGCUCACCUAGGCGACGAUCAGUAGCGGGUCUGAGAGGAUGAUCCGCCACACUGGGACUGAGACACGGCCCAGACUCCUACGGGAGGCAGCAGUGAGGAAUUUUGGACAAUGGGCGAAAGCCUGAUCCAGCCAUGCCGCGUGUCUGAAGAAGGCCUUCGGGUUGUAAAGGACUUUUGUCAGGGAGGAAAUCCCUAGUGCUAAUAACACUGGGGGAUGACAGUACCUGAAGAAUAAGCACCGGCUAACUACGUGCCAGCAGCCGCGGUAA